AACUUUUAGCAAUGGAUCACUUGGCUCUCGCAGCGAUGAAGAACGCAGCGAAAUGCGAUAAUUAAUGUGAAUUGCAGAAUUCAGUGAAUCAUCGAAUCUUUGAACGCACCUUGCGCCCUUUGGCUAUUCCGAAGGGCAUGCCUGUUUGAGUAUCAUGAACUCCUCACCUCUCAUGGCUUGCCAUGAUGAGCUUGGACUUUGGGGGUCUUGUUGGCCUGUGAGCCAGCUCCUCUUAAAUGAAUCAGCUUGCCGGUGUUUGGUGGCAUCAUGGGUGUGAUAACUAUCUACGCUUGUGGUUUCCCAUCAGGUAACCUUCAGUGAUGGAGGUUCGCUGGGGCUCAUAAACAUCUCUCCUCGGUGAGGACAGAUUUUGACCUUUUGAUCUCAAAUCAGGUAGGACUACCCGCUGAACUUAAGCAUAUCAAUAAGCGGAGGCU
rnacentral:misc_RNA from 1 species